CAACCUUAAAUACAUAUCCUAUAGUAAAAUAUGACUCUAGCUCAAACCUUUCAAGUAGAUUUUUCUAAUGCUUGGUUGCAGCCGAUGCCUGCCAAACCCUUGGAUUCAAUAUCGACUCCAUCACUACACUUUUUAAGGCAUAAGAAUCUUCAAUAAGUGGGGCUUUAAAGAAAUCCCAAGAUCCUCAAAAGACUUCAACAUCUUGGGGUUCCCCUUGGCUUUCUUGUCCCUUUCAUGAAUAUAGUGCUCAUGCCACUUGGUGCAUUUCUUUAUGGCCAUUAAUGGAAUGGGAUCCAAAGAGAGGUGUGGGUCAAUGGCCAGCUUGCCUUGUACAUAUACUACAU
rnacentral:lncRNA from 1 species